UAGGGUGCACUGUGAUCCAAUGUGACUG
rnacentral:piRNA from 1 species